UACGGUGGAUGUUUCACCAUCCUCUGCCCAAGCUGGGUCAUCACAAUCACAGACAAGAGUGUCGCCAGCAUUGCCAUCCUAUGACAUGAGAUGCUUUAAAGGUGCAUUACUUCGCACAGCAAUUCUGUGUCUGGAAAUCUAUUCUACACAAUGAAAUUGUGAUUCAUGCAAGCACAGUUUCUGCAGCAUUUCGCUUCUCUAAAAGUCACUGGAGACCGUCUGGAUCUUCAGACACAGACACUGGUUACUUUUGUUGUGAUGCAGUCAUUCUAUGUAAUGUGCAGAGAUAAAAAGGAAAAAAUCUGUAUGUGCAGGAAAAAUCGAUAUACUUGAAAAGCCACGGUGGCAGGAAUUGGUCAUCACCCACCAGGAUUCUACACUGCCCUACAGGUGAUCCCAACUGAGGUUGCCAGAGGAACAGGAUGUGGAAUGCAGUCGCGUUUCAGAGAGGAACCUAAAGUCAGAAUGGACCAGGGGUCUUGCCCUGACCUCUGCCUCUUCACCCAACCCCCACCUGGUCAGGCAGUGACCCUGGAGGGGCUGGGAUGAUCCUGGGAGAGCAGUGAAAUGGGGAGCCAAUGGUGGGAGCAUGGUGAACAUGGAGAGCCCAGACCCCACACCAUCUGGGGAGGAGCUCAUGUGAUGCUGGGAGCACUGGGAAGACAGGGAGCCUGGACACAGCACUCACUGCUCCUCCCAUCUGGGACAGGAUUGGGGUGGGUGAUGAGAAAAGUUUCCUGAGUAACACAGUUCCCAAUCCUGGCAGAAUAACUCACCCCAGUUGCACUCACAGCCAAGACCCACUCAGCCCCUGGACCAGUCUAACACAGGGCUUGGUAAAUCCAGGAGUGAAUACUACUGAGGCAUCUGCCAGGGCAUAGGAAACAGUAACAAGAGGACGGCUCAGCUAGUGGCUCAGACUAUCUUGCCCCACACUCUCCAAUAUUGAGUAGGGAGUAAGCCUUGAGCCCAGGAGGUUGAGGAUUCAGUGAAUUAUGAUCGUGCCACUGCACUCCAGACUGGUGACAGAGUAAGAGUCUGUCACACAUGCUUACACACACAAAUUAAAUUGUGUGAGCAGUUGUCACACAGGGAGAUCUGGAUGCACUCACUGUGGACCCAGGUCUCAGCGAGCAGGAGGGUGUUCUGUAUUGUGGGAACAUGAGGGACACGCAUGGGACCGGGCAUUUGUGCCUAGCUUUGAAGGGUGGCUGGCCCUUUGCCCAGGGCGAAGAGGCCAGCAGAAUGCACUAACAGUGGGGAACCACCAGGAACUUUCACUUGAACCUGCUCUGCUGAGCCCCCUGUGCCAUCCGUGGACCUGGGCGAGGGAGGCUGCUGAACUGGGAGCUCAGGGCCCAUCUCUCUGAGGAGCUUUCUAAAUCAGCAAGUGUGUCACAGGUUGAGAUUUUAGGAACGGGGUCCUCCAUGUUGUCCUCGAUUUUAAUAAGUAGACUCUUUUGGCCAAUCUGCAUUGGGCAGAGCAGGAACAAGACAUAAUUUUUUAAUAUAUAUUUUUAAAGCUGUUUAAUUUUGGUAAAAACAUAGAAGAUAAAAUUUACCAUCUUGACCAGUUGUUUAGUGCACAAUAUGUUGUUUUAAACCUCUGGAACCCUGCCUGCUGCUCCUGUAAUAAAACCUAGCCCGGGCCAGGCGCGGUGGCUAACGCCUGUAAUCCCAGCACUUUGGGAGGCCGAGACGGGUGGAUCACCUAAGGUCAUGAGUUUGAGACCAGCCUGGCCAACAAGAUGAAACCCCAUCUCUACCAAAAAUACAAACAAUUCGCCGGGCGUGGUGGAGGGCGUCUGUAAUCCCAGCUACUCCGGAAGCUGAGGCCAGAGAAUCCCUUGAACCCGGGAAGCGGCGAUUGCGGUGAGCCGAGAUCACGCCACUGCACUCCAG
rnacentral:lncRNA from 1 species